CCUACGGGAGGCAGCAGUGGGGAAUCUUGCGCAAUGGGCGAAAGCCUGACGCAGCAACGCCGCGUGCGGGAAGAAGGCUUUCGGGCUGUAAACCGCUUUCAGCAGGAACGAAAAUGACGGUACCUGCAGAAGAAGGAGCGGCCAACUAUGUGCCAGCAGCCGCGGUGAUACAUAGGCUUCAAGCGUUGUCCGGAUUUAUUGGGCGUAAAGAGUUCGUAGGCGGUCAAGUAAGUCGGGUGUGAAAAUUCUGGGCUCAACCCAGAGACGCCACCCGAUACUGCUUAACUUGAGUUCGAUAGGGGAGUGGGGAAUUCCUAGUGUAGCGGUGAAAUGCGCAGAUAUUAGGAGGAACACCGGUGGCGAAGGCGCCACUCUGGAUCGAUACUGACGCUGAGGAACGAAAGCAUGGGUAGCAAACAGGAUUAGAUACCCUGGUAGUCCAUGCCGUAAACGGUGGGCACUAGGUGUGGGUUUCUAUUAACGAAAUCCGCGCCGUCGCUAACGCAUAGUAGCCCGCCGUCGGGUAGGUACGGUCGCGAGACGUAAACGUUAAAGUAGAGUAGUAACGGUCGUAAGUUACGUUGUCGACGGACGACGACGAGGGAGGAGG
rnacentral:rRNA from 1 species